rnacentral:rRNA from 1 species
UGGGGAAUUUUGGACAAUGGGCGAAAGCCUGAUCCAGCAAUGCCGCGUGUGUGAAGAAGGCCUUCGGGUUGUAAAGCACUUUUGUCCGGAAAGAAAUCCUUGGCUCUAAUACAGUCGGGGGAUGACGGUACCGGAAGAAUAAGCACCGGCUAACUACGUGCCAGCAGCCGCGGUAAUACGUAGGGUGCAAGCGUUAAUCGGAAUUACUGGGCGUAAAGCGUGCGCAGGCGGUUUGCUAAGACCGAUGUGAAAUCCCCGGGCUCAACCUGGGAACUGCAUUGGUGACUGGCAGGCUAGAGUAUGGCAGAGGGGGGUAGAAUUCCACGUGUAGCAGUGAAAUGCGUAGAGAUGUGGGGGAAUACCGAUGGCGAAGGCAGCCCCCUGGGCCAAUACUGACGCUCAUGCACGAAAGCGUGGGGAGCAAAACAGGAUUAGAUACCCUGGUAGUCCACGCCCUAAAACGAUGUCAACUAGUUGUUGGGGAUUCAUUUCCUUAGUAACGUAGCUAACGCGUGAAGUUGACCGCCUGGGGAGUACGGUCGCAAGAUUAAAAACUCAAAGGAAUUGACGGGGUCAUAGCUGUUUCCU